UAAUUAUAACUAUCUUUUGUUUUCCUCAGUAAUGCAAUCAUUGAGAUUUUGAAAAAAUAUUGGAUUGGUGUGGACAAUGAGGAGAAAUAUCUAGAUGGUGAGAUAUUUUUACAAUUAAUCGCUAGUAGUUAUAGUCUUCUUUUGUUUUCCUCAGUAAUACUAUCAUUGAGAUAUCUCUUGGAAGUAUUCUGUUGGUGAUUGCCAACUAGUGACUAAUCUUCUGGAAAUCAAGUUUCUUAUACUCAUUUUGCAAUGUGGAACAUCAAGGAUGGCCUGAAAAUUCUCUUGCAACCGAUGUUUUGAUUUUCCCUUUUAUGUUUGAGUAAUGACAUUGAGAUUUCUCUUGGAAGAAUUCUUUUGGUGAUUGCCAACAAGUGACUGAUCUUCUGGAAAUCAAGUUUCUUAUACUCAUUUUGCAAUGUCGAACAUCAAGGAUGGCCUGAAAAUUCUAAGGCAACAGACGUUCUUAUUUUCCCUAUUUAUGGUGAGAGGACCUUUAGAAAGCUGCAUAUUUAUUUAUUUAUUGUUGGAAUUAAGUAGUCAUAUGACCCUCUCUUUCUGUUUCUUUCAUAAAGCACGUUGCAGUAAUAAUGGUAUUUAUACACACACAUGUAUGUAUGAUGUACUAAUUCCAUCAAAUUGCCUUUAACAUGAAAAAUUAUUGGAUUGGUGUGGACACUGAGAA